GCCCUCGACUCUCUCACGUUCUCCUCUCUCAAACUGCUUCUCUUCUCACUUGGGUGAUCUCUAUCUCUGUCUCGUGGCUUUACUCACCAAUGAAGGUUUCUCAAAAAGAUCAAAAUCACUUUGAUAUAGUGGAACUAGAAGGUUAGGAUCAAAUCCCUAAUUCCAUAAAAUAUGCGAAAUCUCUUAAUUGCCAUGGUUGUUUUGUUUUCCCAAAUUCUUUCUUUGCUUUUUCGGAAGCAACACAGAAAUUGAAGAUGGUAGACAUUGAGAGUUCAUGUAUUAUCUACACUUUAUAGGUUUGAACCGAUUUGCUCUCUUCUUGUUUGUUUUUCCAGAUGGCUAGUCAUGUUUAUUAUAUUUGGAAUUUUUAGGACUGGAGUCAAAUAUGUUGAUCAUGUAGCAAUUAAACUUUGCAAGCUCAAUUUGGUUGUAUACAGUAUGUUAGAGCUUCAGUUUGUUUUUGCCAAGUACAACUAUAAUUUUAGUCCUUAUUUUUUAGAAGAGUAAAUUUCAUCUUAAAUUGGGUUUGACUUCUAAAUGGGAAUAUAUAUAUAUUGCAAGGCCAGGGCUGCUCCCUUCAAGGGAAUAUAUAUGGUUCAGUUGGAGAAGUCAUGCUUCAAUGUAAUAUUAUGCUUCAGGCUAUAUUUGGUGCGACGUGCUUUUAUGUUGGUCAAUGAAAUGAAUUUCUUUGGGUAAUGAUUGUUUAUUAAGAACCUAGUUUAAUCUUUUGGAUCUUAUUUGAUACAAAUAGGUUUUUUUUUGGCUUGGACUUGUUGUCCAUAUAUGCUAUUGAAUUCUUGAUAAUUAGGCAGGUGGCAGAACAAUUGAUGAUUAUGCAUGAAGAAUACUUGCAUAGAAAUCAAUAGGUCUCAGCUGUAAGUUAAAAGAUUUUUUCUCAAAGCAGAGAGGUAUUACCAGCGCCCAAGUCUGAGCUCCUUCGACCUUAGGCUCUUGAUUCAUCUGCUUUCAGGUUUUAUUUUGGAGCAGAGGGAUCCUUAGUUGAGUUUUGGGAGGAACUCGUUUUAGCUUUAAAAGUAUAGCCCCUGUUUUGGAAGUUUGAUGCUUAGCUUUGUAGUAUUGUGUAUUUUAGAAUCCAAUGAAAGUUGUGUACUUUAAUAUAUUAAGAGAUGUAUUAUGUGAAAUUCCGAAAUUGAAUAACUAGUGGAUUAAGUUAUCCCUUGGAGUACAAUGUAAAUGCUCUG